ACAAUUUAUAUAUAAUGGAAGUCAGGCAUUAACGGCAAUGCCACGUGUUGGUCUAUGUAAGCUGAGGGCCGACGGACACACGGUUUAUAUAAACUGUGGGCCGAGCAGCACAGUUUACAUAUAACCCGGGUAUUCUGUUUAUAGCACUCGGUAAAGCUUAAUUUGCAAAACAGAAAAAAAAAUCAGUUUGCGUGCGGGAUGAGAUGGGCGAGCGCCGGGCGAGCACGGCCGGUCUGAAUCCUCCGGCGAGCGAGCGUGGGUGGCGAGCUCUCUGUCGGCCUGCAUCCGAGCGAUGGAAGAGCUUCCUGACCACAGGAGGAGGCGAGGGAGAGGUUGCGUGCGCAUCGCGUCCGAGCCGACCAGGCCCUAGAGACACCGGACGCCGUCGUGCUCCGACGACCCGCGCCGCCCUUCGCGAGCCCUCUCCGCCCCGCGCCGUCCAGCCCUUCUCCUGCCCUCCGUUGUAGCCCAUCCAAUCGGACCGACGCGUGCCGCUGCCGCAGCGCGGCCGCCUGCGGCGCCCACAACAACACCUUGGCGCGCCGGAGAGGAGCCCCGACGGGAGCGGCGGCUAGGACUCCCUCGACUGCGACCAGAGGAACAGCACGCCGGAGGCCUCCAUCCCAGCGGGAGCUCGCGCAGGUCCUCCUGUCAUCCUACCACGGCGCAGGCGGGUGGCCGUCGAGCCAGGCGAGGCAUCCGUAAGGUUGGUGCAGGACUCGCAAGGGUACUGAGAGGAGGUGGAAGGGGCCGACGAGGAGGCACUCGGGGAGCUCCGCGUCCGUGGCAAAACGGGCGAGGAGCACCAGCGGCGAGGCGAGCGACAGGAGGGCGUCGACGGCUGUGUGUUGUGUGCGGCUGAGAAAAC
rnacentral:rRNA from 1 species